ACAAGGACACCCCCGCCCCACAACAAAUAACUGUGCAAGAGGCGAGAGUCCAUCCCUGGGGAGAGAAGCAUCGGCCGAGCCGCAGAACAACUGUUGAAGGCAGAGGAAAGCGCUGCAAGUAGAUGUGGAAACACCACAGAACCUAAACAGGGCACUUGUGCCCAUUGUAAAGUUAGUUCAGAAAUGCUUGAUCUCAGAAGCCAAGCACGCUUAAAGCAGAUGAAAAAUUCACUGCAUGUCUGGCAGCAUCUCGAGGGAGAGAAACACAGAUACUUUAGAUCAAAUUAAUGAAAAGUCGUUGACCUGAAACAUUAACUUCUCUCUACACAAAGGGUCCCUGACCUGCCAACUAUUCCCUCCAACUUCUACUUUUAUCUCUGUGGUU